GGUCUGCUGGCGCAAUGGUAGCGCGCAAGACUUCUACACUGCACCCGUUAUGCGUUGACACCACCCAUGAGGAGACGUCCGUUCAGGAGAGCAGUUAGAUGGUAUCUUGAGGCUGUGGGUUCGAGUCCCACGUAGAUCA
rnacentral:tRNA from 1 species